AUUGAACGCUGGCGGCAUGCCUUACACAUGCAAGUCGAACGGCAGCACGGGGCAACCUGGUGGCGAGUGGCGAACGGGUGAGUAAUGCAUCGGAACGUACCUUUCAGUGGGGGAUAACGUAGCGAAAGUUACGCUAAUACCGCAUUUUCUGUGAGCAGGAAAGCAGGGGAUCGCAAGACCUUGCGCUGAUUGAGCGGCCGAUGUCAGAUUAGCUAGUUGGUGAGGUAAAGGCUCACCAAGGCGACGGUGUGUAGCGGGUCUGAGAGGAUGAUCCGCCACACUGGAACGGAGACGCGGUCCAGGCUCCUACGGGAGGCAGCAGUGGGGAAUUUUGGACAAUGGGGUCAACCCUGAUCCAGACAUGCCGCGUGAGCGAAGAGGGCCUUCGGGUGGUAAAGCUCUUUCGGCCGGGAAGAAAUCGCACGGGCUAAUACCCUGUGUGGAUGACGGUACCGGAAUAAGAAGCACCGGCUAACUACGUGCCAGCCGCCGCCGUAAGAC
rnacentral:rRNA from 1 species